rnacentral:rRNA from 1 species
GAUGAACGCUGGCGGCGUGCCUAAUACAUGCAAGUCGAGCGAACGGACGAGAAGCUUGCUUCUCUGAUGUUAGCGGCGGACGGGUGAGUAACACGUGGAUAACCUACCUAUAAGACUGGGAUAACUUCGGGAAACCGGAGAUAAUACAGGAUAAUAUUUUGAAACGGAUGGUUCAAAAGUGAAAGAGGGACUUGAUGACACUUAUAGGUGGAUCCGCGCUGCAUUAGCUAGUUGGUAAGGUAACGGCUUACCAAGGCAACGAUGCAUAGCCGACCUGAGAGGGUGAUCGGCCACACUGGAACUGAGACACGGUCCAGACUCCUACGGGAGGCAGCAGUAGGGAAUCUUCCGCAAUGGGCGAAAGCCUGACGGAGCAACGCCGCGUGAGUGAUGAAGGUCUUCGGAUCGUAAAACUCUGUUAUUAGGGAAGAACAUAUGUGUAAGUAACUGUUCACAUCUUGACGGUACCUAAUCAGAAAGCCACGGCUAACUACGUG